CCUGGUUAAGCCGUUCUGGAGCAUUCGUAAGAAGUAAUCUUCCCGGAGCUUAGCAUCCCCCUUGACCUCGUUAAAGGUAGAAAGAUGGCUCUGCUGAGAUAAGCUCUUAAUUAAUGCACUGAGAGCUUACGAGUCCCACCUCUCAACAGGAAUGAUUGACGUCCAAGGAUACAUAAAUUACAGUAAUUGAGCCCUGCCUCUACCCAGACUUCCUACAGCCAACUCAUCAGAGAAGCUAGGUUAGUCAUCAUUCAUCAAGGACUACAAGAUGAUUAAAUGUCAAUGCUAGCUGAUGAUGCACUUAUACAAGGAAAACUUUGUCCCCAAAAGACUGCUUUCUCAGAUAAACAUAGGCUAUAGACUAUACUUUUACAAGAAUGGAGAUUUGAUUUGAAUGUAGACAAGACUUCACUGAUAGCUCAGUCGUGGCUCAGCUGGUGGAGAAUCUGCCUGCAAAUACAAGAGACCUGGCUUCGAUCCCUGGAUUGGGAAGAUCCCUUGGAGAAGGGAAAAGCUACGCACUCCAGUAUUCUGGCCUGGAGAAUUCCAUGGACUGUAUAGUCCAUGGGGUCACAAAGAGUCAGACACAACUGAGUGACUUUCACUUUCAUAGACAAGACUGGAUAUUUUAAAUUUAUUUUUCAGUUUAAGUAUAGUUGCUUUACAAUGUAUUAACUUCUUCUGUACAGCAAAGUGAUUCAGUUAUAUAUAUAUAAACAUUCUUUUCUUAUAUUCAUUUCCAUUAUGGUUUGUCAUAGGGUAUUAAAUAUAGUUCCCUGUGCUAUACAGUAGGAUCUUGUUAUCUAUUCUAUAUAUAAUAGUUUGCAUCUGCUAACCCUAAAGACCUACUCCACCAUUCCCAAAUCAACCUGCUUUAUGAAUUUACUGUUGCCUUUCUUGCUCUCUUCAAUAUCUAAGAAAUGAGUGCAUAUUGUUAAUCAGUUUCUAUAGUGAACCACAUGUAGCUGUUUCCCUUUCCAGACAUCCCCUUCAUUCUCCAUGCCUUACAUGUUGGGCAUAAAUGCUGAGUUGCAUCUAACAAAUGUAUCAGUGCCCCCAUCAAUAAGAUGUGAUUGUCCCUCCAGCUGAUUCUUCUGCAACACAUUUCCCCAUGUAGGAUGAGGUCUGAGUGACAGGCUACACUCCCUGGAUAGACAGGUCUAUUGACUUUUGAUGGUGUCUUCAUCUUGGAUCUAAGACUCCUUGUGUGUAACUGCUGGGUCAGCCCCAGGAUGGUGAACACAGAAGCUUGUGGCACCAUCAGUCCUGGACAGGGUGGGUGGUGGCACCACACUGGUCACAGAGAUGGACGUACUUGGGUCUCAGGGCCAGUUCUAUCACUUCCUAGC
ensembl:lncRNA